AACGAAUGCCCUGCUGUCCAAUCACUUGCCACCAAAGAUUGUUGAAGUAGUGUGCUGCAAGCUGACUCCCUUACAGAUGACACUGUACAACCACUUCACACACUCCAAAAAUGUUAAGCGCUUGAUAUCUGAAGAAGCAAAGAGUACUAAAGUUUUGGCAUAUAUUACUGCUCUUAAGAAAUUAUGCAACCAUCGAAGGUAAUUAAUUCCAGUUUAAUGUUUCGCCCCACGAUAUAUCUCUUUCAGUGGAAGUAGUUUCGACAGUAGGAUCAGAGUUUAUUACAAUCUUUUUUUAAUUAGUUAAUGUACGCACCUUGCUAAACCCCAACACAUUGAGUUGUCUCGUCUGGCUCCGCCGCUGCACUUGGUCGAUGUCCUCACCUGGCAUCAUGAUGAGGUGGUGGCCGGUGGGUGGCGUGAGGAGCGGCAACAGACUCGUUUAUCUUGU